UCAACCACACAUGCAUACAUAGAGUCAGACUCAGGGUGAUUGAGAGGGAAUUAUUUGCAUAGGAGAAUUUGAUGCAAAUACCUUGUCUGAAAUGUUACACACCUUCCCCUCUUAAGGUUGUUCCUGACAAAGUGGACCAUAUUUAUUUAGGUGUGUAACAGUUUGCAGGCCUGGUUUGGCAUCAAACGGGAAAACUGUGACUUCAGUACUUCCAGAAACUGAGGCUUCAAUGUAGCUGGAAGUUGCUGGCUAUAGCACAAGGAAGCUCAGAUAAAGAGAAGAAAAUAGCCAAAUGGGUAGACAGGGUGAAUUAUUUUGGUGGCUACAUAUAAUAGAUGGAAAAUUGUUACAUAGACCACUUUCAUCAAGCUUUUACACUUACUUGAAAAGUUGAUCAUGCUGGAAAAUGCCCUGUUGGAGGCACUUCAAAGGAAACAGAGCAGACUUGGAAGAUAUUCAGCAAACCUAGUGACAAACUCAGGAACAUCUUAUUACUUACUAUAUUUCAUCAUGACAAUGCAUCAUAUAAGUAAGACUGACAAAAAAGGUCUGACCCAAGAAUUAAAGCAGAGACCAGAAGUAUUGCUCAUACUGCUAUCAGGUUAUAAAAAUAUUUGUUUAAUUGUAACUCACAUAUAUCUUGAGAUGAGAGGAGUGAUAACAAGCUGCUGCUGAGCUGAUGUGGGGAGGGGGACGGUGCAGGAGCUGCGUGGGUAAACACAGGUUUUUGCCCAAACAACCAAGCACAAGAUGUUACACAAUUCUGAACCUGAAUGCAGCAGGGUAAGGUCUAUAAAUGAUGACCACAAGGUAAGUGCCACAGAAUUUGCACAUCUGUGCUAGAUGUUCCUGCCAUGCAUGAAAUAACUUCCUAGACUCACACAGUGUUGAUGGUAGGUCUUACACCAGAAGACACCAAAUUCAACUGAAAGUUAAUGAUGCACACUUAUUUGUGUCUGUGCCUCUGUGUGUGUGUACACAGAGAUACUCACACUUAUAAAAAAAUAAAUGCCAGCUCCAUUUUAGCACAAAUAUUUAGGUAACUCAGUUUUCUACAAAUGCUGGUUUGUACCUCAUUCUGGAAUCCACCUACAGAUAACCAACAAGUAAAGAAUCCUGGAAAACUGUCAUAGCAACAUUUUAGAUUGCUGUUGGGAAGCCUGUACAAUAUUGGUACCUUGUUUCAAAACUGACAUUCAAAAAAUCAAGUUUAACAUCCAGGACCUGUUCAGUGCUUUUCUGAAUCAGGGCCACUCAUUAUAACUGUCACUUGCCUGUGCUCUU